rnacentral:lncRNA from 1 species
AUCAGGAAGACGUGGUUCUCGAGCCCGUUCCGCAGGAAGACGGUGAGUUAGAUGCCUAAGGACCUUAUAGCUCUAUUUAUAGUUUUUAUUUUGAGUAUCUCUUUUAAUUAGCUUAUUCUUUCAUAUUUUGAGUACGUUUUUUGGUUAUUGUGUAAGGGAUAUUAAUCAAAAAUUUUAUUACGCUUCCGCAUUUAAGAUUUUUAAUGCAUACAUCUUCAUUUAAAUUCCGGGGCCGUUACAAAGAUGCUUAUUCUAAGGAGCUCCAGCUUUAAAGAAUAUUCUGAUGAUCAAAUCCAGCUAUAAUGGGCCUUUAGCUGAAUAUAUUGUUGAACCCCCACCAAGUUCUAGAUGUGAGGUAUGAUAUAUGAUAAUGUGCCUUAUGACUAUUGAUGUGAUACCCACUAAAGAUAAACCUAAACUAGAGGAGUGUAAGAAGCGGACUGGUAUUAAUGAGCUUCCAGGAAACGAAAGAAAGCAAUUACGAGGUAACAAUACCCUAUGCUACUCUAUUCUUCACUAAGUAUCAAACAGUGAGGCCGAAUCCACCAAACAGAGUUCCCGACCUAGGAAGAAAUGACACUAGAAGGUGUUAAAAACCCAAAGAAAAACGGACUUUACUGUUAAGAAACGGCUUGGCCUGAAAAUCCCGGCCUAAGAAAGAAGUCUGAAUGUAGUCUGCAUAUGGGUACCCGUAGGGUAAACAUGUGUCGCAUUGCAUAUAUAGGAUAGGAUACUUGGCCCACACAUUCAUCGAUGUUCUAAGCUCCCAUGGUGAGGAAGUCGAAGGUAACUUUAUACUUCGCAGGAAAAUCAGAGACAGGCAACUUUCUUGACGCAUAGACCUGGAGGCCCACAUGCGAGCAAGGAUGCUUGCGUAUGCGCCGAACAGGCAAGCCAACCUACACAACCCAUGAACACACACAUGUGCCCACAUGUGCCGCGCACAUGAGUGUCGGGAGCACCAUACACGUGACCUUCUAGGCCCACACAGAACCGACCGCGCGCGCAAGCCCAGAAGGCCGAACGCGUGCGCAAGCCCAGAAGGCUGAACGCGUGCGCAAUGUGCGGACGGGCCCGAGGCCAGCCCAACCAAGCCCACGAUUCCUACGGGCCUUUCCCACGCUACCCAAGUGGGCCGAUUGACCCAACCUAAUUGGGUUACCCUAAAACCGGCCCUCCCUAAUUCUUUUAAAUUAAUUAAUAUUUUUUUAAAGUUUAAAAAAUGAGCUUUGGGACCCAUUUUUUAAAUUACCCAUGUUAUUAACUUAAAAUCCCACAUGUCUAAAUUAAUUUCUAAAUAUAUUUUUCAUGGAAGUCACAUGGGAUAAGUAUUAAUGUAUUUUAAUUAUUAUUUUAUUAUAAGUCAAUCCCUUAAGAUUAUUUAAUUAAUAUUUUUGAGAUAGGAUAAUUAUUUUAUUAUGUAAUUAUCCUAAAUUUAGAUAGAAUUUUAUUUAGAACGUUAUUUUAUUAAAUUAUCCCAAUAGUUUGUAUUUAUCUAGAUUGCUCGAAAAAAACUAUAAAUAGGCAUUUGCUCAUAGAUUGUAAACAUACCAAUUACAAUCAGUAUGAGAGAAUUCUUAAAAGCUUAGGUUUUUAUUUUUUUUAGCAUUUUUACUAAAUUAGCUUCUCCAAGUUCUUUAAGAAGUAGGAGUUUUCAGAAAUCCUAUUGAGCUAAGAAGCAGGGAUCAACUUAUCAGUAAAUCUGUUGCGAUUUUUCUUUUCUUGUUUUUUUUUCCUAGUCUUUGUUUAUGCAUUUCUUCUACGAUUGUAGAUUCAAUUAGAGUGAUGAGUUUAUCUAGACGAUUAUAGUUCCUUGCUCACUAUUUUUUCUAUUUGAUAAUGACAAUAAUAAUAAUAAUAAUAAAAGAAGAUUCAGCAGAGGAUAAGAAGUCUUACCUUACUCUAUUGGAUAUUCACAAGUGAAAAAAGACGAAUGAAUCCAACUUUUCCUUUUCCUAUUUUACGUUCUUCUUUUCUUCUUCACGACUUCAUUAUGCGCUGGCAAGUUCGUUAACAAGUCAAUGAAAGGACAAAGAGGGAGUCAGUAGCAAUGGUGAUGUAGCUCAGAAAUAUAGAUAGGAGGAGGACGAGAACUGGUGACCCCAAGAGUAUCAGAGACAUGGAUGAAGAGGGAAACAGGGUUGUUGUCCUGACUGAUGCAGCAUCAUGUUGAUUCCAUUGCUGGCAACUCUCUCCCUUCUCCGUCUCCCUUUGUCCACUUUCCUUCUGGUUAUUAAUCGAAGAAUUUAAAAUUUUGAGAAUUAAAUUAUUUGUAGACUUUAAAAAUUCUCUCAAAAAAAAUUAAAAUUAAUUAAUUAAAUUAGUAGAUUACUAUACAUUAAAAAAUAAAAAAAACAUGUUUAAAACUAUUAUUAUUAUUAUUUUAUUUAUUAAUUAAAAUUAAUUCAGUUUAAACAUUAGAUAAUUUGUUUUAAGAAAGAAGCUUAAAAUAAUCAGAUAAUAUUAAAAUAUCAAACUAUAAUACAGUUUUAAAAAAAUAAAAAAUAAUCAUACUGAAAAAAAAGUUCCAUACAAAAUUAUAAAAAAAAAUCAAUUUUUAGAAACUAAUUUAAUAAUCUAAUCUAAUAUCCAUUUUUAAAUUAAAUAAUAGUAAUUUAAAAUUGAUAUUUAUAUUAAAUAAAAUAUUUAAUUAAAUGAAUAUUUUAAAAUAACUUAAAUUAUUAAAAUAAUUUCUAAAAAAGUAAUAUCAAACAAAUAAUUAUAACAAUUAAAUCUUAUAGCAUAAUUCUUAAUCCUCGUUUAUCAUUAAUUUUGUAACAUAAUAACUUAAUAAAAUAUUUUAUAUUAAAGACAUUUUUUACAAGUAAAAAAUAAUAUUUCACUUUAAAACCACUUCUAUUAAAAGUCAUUUUGAAAGCAUUUUUACCAACUCCAAGCACUGGCUUUGUAAAACAGACUUUAAAAUCAAUCCACUCAUAUUCUUGUGCGAUCUACCCACAAAUGAAAUGUGCACUAGCUUUAGGGGGAGGAAAAAAAGCACCUUAAUUAGUUGUGUUCAUCUUUGCUUUAUGCAUGUAUAUAAAUUUGAUUCAAUCGCUACCCAAGUAAAAACAUUAAACAAAGGCCAAUGAAUCCAAUUAUAAUAAGAUUAAGAGAGACAACACAAAACUAUAAAACUCAAUUGGUUAGCUUCACAGCUCAANNNNNNNNNNNNNNNNNNNNNNNNNNNNNNNNNNNNNNNNNNNNNNNNNNNNNNNNNNNNNNNNNNNNNNNNNNNNNNNNNNNNNNNNNNNNNNNNNNNNNNNNNNNNNNNNNNNNNNNNNNNNNNNNNNNNNNNNNNNNNNNNNNNNNNNNNNNNNNNNNNNNNNNNNNNNNNNNNNNNNNNNNNNNNNNNNNNNNNNNNNNNNNNNNNNNNNNNNNNNNNNNNNNNCUGAAUCAGUCUCAAAAGCUGGGGGUUUUGCUUUCCAAGCUCCUGAAGCAUGGGCUGUAACAAAAACAGCAUUUUCAACUCUUCUCAAGAAGCUACCAAGAUAAAUUCGGUUUAAAGAGAAAAAGAGAUUCAGUGACCUGUAAGAUUUGUGGAUUUGAUUGCACUAUUGAUCGCAACGUUUGGAACUAAAACCAACAGAGAAACAAGAGAAGUUAUCUCAUCGCGAAAAUUCAUCACCUACAAAUCUUUAGAUAUUGCCACUUUUCAAAUAAUUCAAUAUCAAUCAGAUUUAUACUAAUAACUAAUGAGCCAGAUACUCGUAUAAAGAGGAAAUAGAUUGUUCAAAUUAGCCUUAAGUUUAAAGACGGCCUAAAGAUUAAAAAUUAUAAUUUUAUUAAAUACAAAACUAGUAUGCUAUUUAGGAGUCUAUUAUCAUAGUUCUAGUAACUUUAUAAUUUUUUGUUUUCAAUAUUUAUUUUUACUAUUUACAUUAGUAGUAUUAGUUCCUCAUCCUAUUAGUGUUAGUGAUCUAAUUCUACCGAAGAACUAUUAUGUACAAAUUUUGGUAAAUUCACUUCUAGUUAUUCAGUAAAAUUUUUUAUGCAUUUCUUAAUUUUCUGAUUCUAUGUGCCAUCAAACUCUAUAUUAAGACUUAUUCGAUGUAGAUAUAUAAGAAACUCUAGAUGUGAUACCUAAAUCUUUGUCUCCAAAUUCCUAAAUAGCUAAUUUAAUCCUAAUUCAUGCUAGAUCAGUUUGUAUAAUAGCUAAAGAAUCCUACUCCAAAAACUUAAAACCCCACACCCAAAUACCCAAACUCGACUGACCGGGAAGAAAAACAGAAAUAACCAAUCACUGAAGCCCAUAAAUCAACUGCCAAGGCAAUCAGAACCAAAGACUCUCUCUCAUCCCCAAAAGCCCAGGGUGAAAUUCCACGGAAAACAAGCCACUCACGAUUGCACUUUUUCCCUAUCCUGCCUUCUCAUUCCCAAAUUUUCUUGUUGAUAGUGUUUCCUACCACUACCAGAUCUGGUACCACUCUCUCAAGCUGAACCUAGUGUUGGGACACUGAUGCUGCUCAAUGAACAAAAAUUGGUGCAUAGUUCCUAUGCAAACGUAACCGCAAGUGAAGUAGUCAGAUUGCCACUGUUUUGACUUUCUAAGAUUGGGUUGACCAAAUCAGUUCAUCCUAUCCAGUUUUAGAGCCCUUCUACACUGGUUACAAUUCCCCAAUUAAUUGUCAUGCACUCAGUUUUCUAAUUAACCAUCAACUUCAACAUCUGCAGUAUAAAAGAAUUUUCAGUACGUGGAAUAUUAAGGAAGAUAAUGAGCUAUAGCUAUGAGAUAAUAAAGCUGACAACUCUUUCUUAGUUGUAGCCUGAGCACAAUCAAACAGGAAAAAGUGAAGCAAAGGUCGAAAGCAUUCAACAAUAUUUUCAAAUCCAAACCUUUGUGGCAUAGAGAGAAGCUUGUCAUUUACAAAGAUUGUUUCCAGAAUCUUGUUUCAAUCUCUAUCGUUGAACGACAGUCUUUCGACACAAUCAUAUCCGCAACCAUAUAGAUUAGCUUGGACAAAUAGUACAAGUAUUUUGGUAACUCAACCAAGUCUUGACUCUAUUCGUCAUGGUAUUUACAGAGAUUCAAUCUUGUGCAACAUUGUUCCUACAAUGUUCAUAAAUGUUUGUCUAGGUCAACCUUAGCUUUUUAAUAGACAUGUUCAGUAUAACGUGACUACUAAUACCCAUUAUUUUACACUUGGCACAAAGGAUAUAGCUUUAAAAUCUAUGACUAAGAAGAGAUGAGGAAACAUAAACAUCCAAAAGCAUCUAUGGAGAGAAAAAGCUCAUUGAAGUUGAAAACAAGAACUGCCGCGUUCUCCUAAUAGUAGAGAUGUUGAGGUUACUAAAGAUUUUUUCAUUACGCGAAGAGACUUAGACAAUUUUUAUACAGUAUAUAGAUAAAAUUAGGUUGUUACAAAACUAUUAACAAUUUAAUUUACACAUGAAUACUACCGUUGCACUUUUACAUAUAUUAGAAAAGGUCAAUUGCAAGGAGACACCGAUGGCAAUAAUUAGAUCUGUUUAACUCAAGGAUGAAGUUAAUGCACAAUUCUUCCGAUACGUUGAUUUCAUCCUCCUCUCAAUAAAAUUUCACUCUAUUAAAUAAUCAUGUGUUUCCAUUAGUUUUAGCAUUAAAGAGAAUAACCGGACAGAAAUUUUCCUAGAGUUUUGUUACAAGAUUACAUGAUAUUUACUUGUAAUUAUUGGUAGCUGACUUUCCAUAUAUAUUAGCAUAAUUAUAUACAGCCAAUUAAUAGGCUAAUUUAUGUUAGUUACCUUACACAGAUCCCACUAUAUGUAUAUAUAUCCCUAACCUAUUAGAAUGAAACUAUCAGACAAUGUUCCUAUAUUUUUCCGCUCUCUUACAUAGUCUCAAAGCCAUGGAUUGAGAGUUGGGCCAGAUCAGAUCUGAUCUGUGUCCCAACCACCACUGAAGGAGAAAUAGAGGCAGCAGCUGCGGCGGCAUCUGAAACGAGGAGGCUUGGAGCCGAUCUGGUGAGACGAGACAGCCAGAAUCAGAAGGGAGGGAGAAGCCAAGGAGAUGGCUUGUGUACACGGCUCGGAGAAGACAAACCGUGCAGCAGGAAUCCUGAUAUGCGUGUGCAGCAGCCAGUCCAGAUCCAAGUCGGGGCGUGGCGGGGAGAAGACAAUCCAGCCUUGUACGCGACAGAUCGGUCUAGAUCUGCGUGAGGUCGGUCUGGAGAGGGUGUAGAUGAAGCUAUCUGUGUCGGAAUCAAAAGGUCGGAGAGGAAGAAUCUGAGGCAGUUGCCAUCGGUUGCGCGAAGCUAGAUCCACAAAUUUUUCAGUGUUUUCCGGCGCGAUUUAACAAAAUCCGUUCACUUGUUCAUUGCAAAAUUAUAUGACUCAACAAAAGAUUCUCUAUCAGUCCUCUUGUGUUGAUACACCCACUCAAAAUGGAAUAACUGAGAGAAAGACUAAACAUUUACUUGAGACUGCUCGAGCUCUUUUAUUCCAAACACAGGUCCCUAAGCAGUUCUAGGCUGAUGCUAUUUCCACGACCUACUUUUUAAUUAAUCGUCCGUCAUCUAUAGUACUUAAUGGAGAUGCUACUUACAGUGUUUUUUUUUUCCAAACAAGUCAUUGUUUUUUAUUCAACCUAGAGUAUUUGGUAACACCUGCUAUAUUCGAGAUGUGUUGCCUAAUAUUACUAAAUUAGACCCAAAUGUCUUGAAAUAUGUAUUUUUGGGAUAUUCUUACCUUCAAAAGGAAUAUCAAUGCUAUUUUCUAGAUCUCAAUAAAUACGUGGUAUCAACUGAUUUGGUAUUUUCAGAGAACACGUCAUUCUUCUCCUUAUCAUCUAAUUCUACAAAUUAAGAGGAGGACGAUGAGUAGCUCAUUUAUAAGUUCACAUCAAGUGUCUCAAAUGAGCAAUCAGAUAAUGGUGUUUCUUCAGAUGAUGUGUCUCCAACUCUAAUUGAGUAAGUUGAUGAUGGUGUGCCUCUGACCGAAGUACAACCACCAAUUAUUCAUAUUUAUUACAAAAGACAACAGACUAAUGAUACAUGUCCUGUACCAGCUUCCUCAUCGUCUGAUCCUAUCCCACAUGACUUGGAUCUUCUCAUUAAUUUUCUUAACGGUAAACAUUAAUGCACCCUUUCUAAAUCUACGUAUCCCAUUGAUAAUUUUAUUUCAUAUAGUCACCUGUCCCAUUCGUUUAUUUUUUUUAAUUACUUUUAUAGAUUCAAUUUCCAUACUUAAGGGAAUUAUGGAGGCUUUGAAUCACUCUCUUUGGUAUAAAAUGAUGUUUGACUAGAUAAAUGCUUUCGGUGAAAAUCAUACCUAAGAUUUGGCGAAUUUGUCAAAAGUAAAAAAGUUGUGAAAUGCAAAUGGAUCUUUUCAGUCCAAGUGAAUCCAGAUGGUUCCGUGGCAAGACUUAAAGUCAAACUAGUAACGAAAGACUAUACUCAAACUUAUGAAGUGGACUAUUCUGAUAUAUUCUCUCUAGUGGUCAAACUUACAUCUCUUUAAUUAUUCAUCUCUAUUGCAGCCUCCCAAAAGUAGCCCUUACAUAACUUAGAUAUUAAGAAAGCAUUUUUUCAUAGUGAUCUCUCAGAAAAAGUGUAUAUGAAACAACCACAUGAAUUUGUUGCUCAAGGGGAGUAUGAGAAUAUCUGUCAUUCAAAGAAAUCUUUGUGUAAUUUAAAACAGAUUCCCCGUACGUAAUUUGGCAAGUUUAGGGAAGUAGUUCUAUAUUAAAAAAGAGUAAGUAUAAUCAUUCGAUCUUUUAUAAAUAAUUAAUAGCUGGUAUUAUACUUUUUGUUAUUUAUGUAGAUGACAUUGUCAUUAUAGGAAAUGAUUGUGCAGAAAUAUCUUCUCUCAAGUCAUUCUUGCAUACUAAGUUUCACACUAAAAACUUGAAUCAGCUAAAAUAUUUCUUUGGAGCCGAAGUAACAAAAAGCAAGAAAGGAAUUUUCUUGUCUCAAAAGAAGUAUGUACUUGAUCUAAUUGCAGAAAUUGAAAAAUUGACAGCUAAGUCGUGCAAUACACAAAUGACGCCACAUGUAUAUCUUACAAAAGAUAAUAGCGAACCUCUUGAUGAUCUGGAAAAGUACAGGCAACUAGUUGGAAAAUUGAAUUAUCUCACAGUGACUUCUAGAUAUUGCAUAUCAUGUUAAUGUUGCUAUUCAUUUUAUAUCUGCAUCUACAAUCAAACAUUGAGAAGCUUUAUAACAAAUUGUGCUGCUUAGAAGGUGCUCCAAGACUUAACAUAUUAUUUAGCAAUUAUGAGCACACUCACAUUAAACGCUUUGCAGAUAUUGAUUUGGCUGAAUCUAAAAUUGAUAAACGGUCCACUACAGGUUAUGUGUUUUUGCUAGUGAGAACUUAAUAUCAUGAAGAAGUAAGAGGCAGACCGUUGUGCCCUAAUCUAAUACAGAAUCCGAAUAAAGAGCUAUGACCCAAUCUACAUGUGAAGUCUUAUGGAUACAUCACCUUCUAACCGAAGUGGGUUUAAAUCCUGUGUCACCUGUAAAACUCAGAGUGUGAUAAUUAAUCUGCAUUUCAUAUUACUUCAAAUCUAGUGUACCAUGAAAGAAUCAAACAUAUCAAAAUUCAAGAAAACUUGGUUUCUAUUGGUUAUGUGAAGACAGGAGAACGUGUAAUAUAUUCACGACUUUAAUGCAACUCGAACUGAAUACUUUCGUAACAAACUAGACAUGAUAAAUAUCUAUGCUUCAACUUGAGGAAGAGUGUUACAAGAUUACUUGAUAUUUACUUGUAAUUAUUGAUCGUUGACUUUCCAUAUAUAUUAGCAUAAUUAUAAACAGCCAAUUAAUAAACUAAUUUAUGUUAGUUACCUUACACCACUCUAUAUGUAUGUAUAUCCCUAACCUAUUGAAAUGAAACUAUCAAAAAAUAUUCCUAUAUUUUUCCGCUCCCUUACAAGUUUCUUGGAAAAGCUCGAGGUUAAUGUUCUACAUUAUUCGCUAUUUCACAACUUAUAGAUGAGUUCUUUCCAACGAGGAAAGAAUUAUGCAAAAUAAUGUAAAUUUAAAUUGCUAAAUAAAAUUAAGAAUGAUAAUUAUAUUACACAUAAAGCCAAUGUAACAUUCAGGAAUUUACCAUUAAAUGUUUAGUGCCUUUAGGUUCUUAUUUUUUCACUAUUUAGUUUCCUUGUACUUACCGUAUUAUUCUCCAAUUUUAUUAGUAUUAGUUAUCUAAUUAUAUUUAGAAACAUAACUAAAUUAGUAUUAUAAAUAUUUUUGUAAAUUCACUUUUUGAGACAUCCUUUAGUUAUUCAAGAAAGAAACUAAAUUUUCCAGUUCUAUAUUGCACUAAAUCCUUACAUUUGAUGCUUAUAAGUUCUUAGAUAUAACAUCCAAGAAACAGAAAGUGUGAAGCGUAGAAUUUAUUCCUAAAUUCCCAAGAAUGCAAACUUAGCCCCAACUUGUACUGUAUUAUGGUGAUUAGAUUCUAGGUUUUCUGGUUUAAUAGAAAAGAGACUAUAUUAGCAUAAGAGAGAAAAAAAAUGUGGAGAAUAAGACAUCUUCCUCAAAGAAUUACAUCAGAUACAACGAAAAGAAACAUAGGAAUGAAAAACUCUAAGAGAUGGAAACAACAGGCUGCCAGUUUCAGUGAAGCAUAGGAAUGAAAAACUCUAAGAGAUGGAAACAACAGGCUGCCAGUUUCAGUGAAGCUCUGAGACGGCUAUAUCAGAGUAUCUCCUUGACUUUUGAUGCAAAAUGUAGAAAGAAAUAUAACCCUAUCCCACAACUCCUAAAGAGAAGAUAACAGUCAUAAAAAAUUCUGCAGCUUUUUUCCAGCCAAAUCACCCAUAAUCCUGCAAAUAUUGCCCCUUGCAAUAAAGGCCUGGCUCCCUUGCGCACCCUUCUCCACAAAUACAUGAACCCAUUAAGCCCUCAACCUAGAUCCUAGGUUUCAGGAAGAAUUCAGCCAAAUCUUCCAUAUUAGUUUGUACCCAAAAUUCAGCUAUAAAAUCAUCAGAGAACAACUUAUAAGAAAAAGGAGGUUUAAAGUAUCCAACUCCAUAUACCAAAAGCUGUCCAACAAGUCCUAAUUUUGGAAUUGGAGUAGGUUGUUAUGGAAGAUUUCAGUCACUUCCACCAUCAUUUUGAGGCAUUUGUUAAUAUAUAUCAGGAGGAUCCAAAGCAUUGGAAACCAAACCAAGAAUUCAAUACAGGGGGUGAAUGACCUGACUAGGGAACUUUCAGUCCCUUCGGGCAAACAAAACAUAGGUGAAGUCAGCAUAAACAUAGGUGAACACAGUAUUGCCAGGGGAAGACAUUACUAGCUCCUGGUUCCGUUUAGGCCACGAUCAUUUUGAUGCUGGUUCUUUUAUCUCCAAGGAUUCUACUAAAGUUCAAGAUUUUGAUGGCUCUUUUGACCACUUGCAUUCAUUUGAUCGCUGCAACAUUUUUUUUUGGCUGUCAGAAUCUCAAUCAGUCCCACCUAGACAAUUUCUGAUGGGUUUAGAUGAUGCUAAUCAAGGCUUCCAGCUUCAGGAAUUACUUGCUAUAUUUACCAAAAAUUUUGGUACGCUACAUGUUUGCCUCAUGUACACAGUUCUAAAAUUUUGCUGCAAUCUGUUGCAAGACGGAGAAAAAUUUUCUCAUUCUGAAGUUAACAAAAGUUACUUUAUGUCGAGUGAAGACUUUUUUAUUGUUCUAAAGCACUUCUAUGGCACAGGAACAACCUCCGGAUUUGGGAUGAUCUGUCAACUGGAAUUUUUUCUUUUGGGAAGCUGUUCGACUAGGCUGUCUCUGUUUCUCAUUAUUGGUGCUUGCGGACAAGCACCUAUCAGAGGAGGUAUGUAAUCUUAUAGUCCAUAAUAAAUAAUAAAAGCACUUAAGAGUCUGGUUUAUGACACGGACCCACAGACAGCAAGCAGCGGGCGGAACACAGGCAAAAUGCAAAGAGAACCAUUACUGCUUUGGUUAAAGUGAGAUGCCUUUUAUUUCAGGAGUUUCCUUAUCUCUGUAAUUUAAAUAAAAAAGGCAACUUAAGAAAGCCUAAGGUCAUGGUGAUUAAAUAGGCUAAUUAUUUUUUUUCAAUAAAGUGUGAAUAGAUAAUAAACUGUAUGCGAUUAAAUCACUAAUUAUCGUAACUUAAAAUCAUGAAGAUUAGAUUACCAGUUUUAGGAAGAAGUAAGCAGGCUUAUUCCUAUUUAUUUGUACCCUUUUAUAAAAAUUAUGCAAUCAAAUCAUUGAAGAAAAAUUUAUACAAAGAAUUUUAGAUUAUUUAACUGCUGAGACUCAAGGACUUUAGAAUCCUAAAUACUAAUACCACACAUUACUGCACAUAACCUGAUCCCGAAACCAUGACUCUGCCACCACAUUGAUAGGAAAGCUUGUAUAAGCCCAUCAAAGAAAGACUAAAGUAGAUUUCAUAUCGGAAAAAGGGGAGGAAGAAAACAUAAGUUUAUUGUAACCUCUAUGUAGAGUAUUAAGUUUCCUUGAUAACAGGAAUUGUAACACUUCACAGGAAUAAUACCUGUUGAUUGCUUCUCAGAAAUUCCAGAGAUCCAAGUCCACCAACACCAGCACCAGAUGGUGCCUCCUGGGAAAAAUUCAGCAUAGCAUAAACAAAAAAAGGAAACCUCCUUACAAACACAAUGAAAUUCAAACAAGAUCAAAAUGUUUACCUGAGGAAACAUAUUUAAAGGAGACGAAUUAGGUGCUCCAGAGGCACCAAUUACUGGGGCUGCACCUGUUUCUGUUAUCUGAGUUGCGGGCAAAUGACCUACUGGAACAGCAACUUCUGUUGUUUCAGGUAUUCCCUAAAAAUAAAGAAGUAUUAAGACCAGAUGUAGAGAAAUAAACAUUUAUCGCUACAUUUGCAAAAUUUAGACUUACAGAGUAAAGAUAAUCUACUGCUCGCUCCGGGUUGUUAUAAGCUGCACGAAGUGCUCGGCUAACUGUCUCUUUGUCCCAGUUUCCGCCACCAAUAUCCAUUAUUUGUUGAAUGGUCUGUUCAAGAUUACUACCAGCAACUAAAUUGGAGGCAGCUUGACCAUAGGUAUCAGCAUGUGGUCUGCAAUAAGUAUAUAAUAUGCAUCACUAGAUAAUAACAAAAACUCUGUUGAACACUAGAAAAUAACAUACAUUAAAAAGUUGAGAAGAGAAUUUUUUUAAGGUUGUUAAAUCAAGAGAAUUUUUCUAAAGCCAUUUGAUCACGUUAACUGAAAUUUCCUGGAUUAUAUGCUUUUGAGACUUGGUUUUGGACCCAAAUGGAGAAGCUGGAUAAAAACAUGUAUUUUCGCUACUAAUUUUGCUGUGAUCGUCAACGGCGCCCUCCACUUUUUUCAAUGCCUCUAGAGGCCUACGGCAAGGAGAUCCCCUAUCUCCACUCUUAUUCAUUAUUGUGAUGGAGGCAUUGAAUAAACUUAUUGAGAAAGUAAAAUCACUGAACUUGAUUAAAGGGAUUACUGUAGGUAACAGAGAUCACAAAACGGAAAUUUCUUAUCUUUUCUUUGCUAAUGAUUCAUUGAUUUUUUAUCAACCAGAUUUCAGCUCCCUCAUCUUCCUAAAAUGUAUUCUACUAUGCUUUCAGGCUGUCUUCGAUUUACAUAUAAAUUUCCAAAAAUCUGAGAUGGUUUUGUUGGGAAACAACUCUAGAAAUGAAGAUUUCAGUGUGAUUUUGGGAUGCAACUAGUCACAAUUACCUAUCACUUACCUUGGCAUUCUUCUUGGCACCAAGCACAAUGAUAAUAAUUGGUGGGAACUAUGAUCGAUUUGUUAAAAUAACAGAUUAUCUACCUGGAAGAAAAAAUUUCUAUCAAAAGGAGAUAGAUUGACCCUGAUUAAAAGCACACUCUCCAAUCUCCCGAUUUACUUUUAUAGAUGCUUAACAUACCAAAUAAAGUGGCAAAAAAACUACAGCAGAUCGAAUGUAACUUUCGUUGGGGAUAGUGAAAACUGCAAGAAAUACCACUUAGUGAAUUGGUUGGAGAUCAAAAAACCCUUAAAAGAAGGGACCUUGAGACUAAAUAUCAAUAGUCAAACUAAGCAAGGCACUUCUUGGUAGAUGAAUUUGGAGAUAUUGGAAUGAAAAUAACAGCCUCUAGAAAAUGGUGAUAGACUCAAAAUGGUAUAAUGGCAAUCCACAAAAUCUCUCUUAUAUUAAAAGCAACAACUAUGGUUACAGCUUAUGAAAGAACAUCAUCACACUUAGUAAUACGAUAUUUCAGUGCUCAAAAUGGAAUAUUGGUAAUGGGUUCAAGGUCUGUUUCUGGGAAGAUUUUUUGUGCGAUUCAAAAAAACUAAAAGAUAAAUAUCCUCUUAUCUACCGGAUAGCUAAAAACAAAACGAUUUACCCUUCUUACUUCACUUAUUGGCAAACACUAACUCUUAUUAAGAGUAUGAUGGCAAAUAUUCCUGUCUAUUUCAUGUCUCAUUCAAUAGUUCCUGCAAGUGUGAUUAAAAGAUUAGAGGCAAUGCAAGUUAGGUUUCUCUGAGGCUAUUUUGAAGAGAGGAGGAAAUACUAUUUGACCAAUAGUCAUAUCUAUUUCCAUGUCUCUCUCAACGAUCCUUGUAAAUACAGCUAAAAGAUUAGAGGCAAUGCAACUCAAGUUUCUUUAGGCUAUUUUGAAGAGAGGAGAAAAUAGGAAAUACUAUUUAGUAGCUUGAAUGAUGGUUAAACAGCCAUCUGGGAGGGUGUAUUGGAUGUAAGAUCUUUGAUCGAAUUUAAGAGUGCAUUGCAAGUAAAUGGCUUUAGACAUUUAUGUGGGAGAGAGAGAGAGAGAGAGUCUAUGGAGAAAGGUGUUAGUUGGCAAAGUUUCGUUUAAAGAUUUUAAGAUUCAAGGAGCCCAAAGGGCUGCAUGGAGUUGGCUUAUGGAAGAAGAUUAAUUCCAGGAAAGAGAUCUUUCAAAAAUGUAUUAAAUGGAGAGAUGGGUUGUAGGAGGAAAUGAAGUUUUAGAAGGAUGAGUGAAUGGAAUAAGGACCUCUUUUCACAAGGUUUCCAUCUAUUUUUGCCGUUGCUUAGAACAUGAACAUAUCUCUGAAGGACACUCUUGUAGGAAUCGAUAGGGAGCAUAUUUGGUCUAUGAUUUUAUUUAGAAAUCUGAACGAUUGGGAGAUAGAAGAGUACAUGAAUCUUCUCAACUCUCCUACUCAGGUGUCCAUGGAAGGGUAAAAGAUGAACUAGCAUAGAGUCCGAACAAGAAUGGACGAUUUUCUCUCAAAUCCUUGAACCUAUUUUUACCAAGUGGGAGAGAGACACUAAAAAAUUUCCUUCUAGCAUGAUCUGGAAUGCAAAGGCCACAACCAAGGUGGCUUUUUUGCCUGCGAAGCGGUCAAUGAGAGGAUUCUCACAUUAGACAAGCUAAUUAUAAGAGGAAAAACAUUUAUUGGUGAACGGUUGCUAUCUAUGCAAAAAUGGCAAGGAGAGUUGCAAUCAUAUUAUGCUAUAGUGUUUGAUUGCUCACUGACUUUGGUUUUUGGUGUAUGGUCCUUUGGGGAGUUAAUUGAAUCAUUGUUGGCACAACAAGGGAUGAGCUGUGGGCAUGGAAGGGUUUUAACAUGGAAAAAAAAAACACAUAAGGUUUAUUCCCUUGGCCACCCUUUGAACUAUUCGGAAGGAGAGGAAUAGAGGGCUGUUCAGAGGAACUGACUCUUCCUCUGAUAGAUUUAAAGAUUCUUAGUUCCUAAGCUCUAAGCUUUUUUAUAAAAGACUAACCGCUGUAUUCUAACAAGGAUUUUGGGGACCUUAUAAACAUUUUAUUAGACUGAUAAAUAUUUUAUAUAUGGAUUGCAUCGCUGUGGUGUUUUAUUAAUUCACUUUUACUUCUAAAAAAAUAAAGUUGAAAAGAUAGAAUUUAAUUUCAUUAAAAAGAUAACAUGGAGGACUGCUUGUAAGAGCCUCUAACAGAAUGCCAAACCGCCACAUCAGAUAUAAAUCUGGAAAGCAAAAUAUAGAUGAGACUUAUGUUGAUAUAUUUAAAAAGUAAUUCCCAAAAAUAUAUUCAAAAAGUAAACAAUAACAGACCCAUCUAAGUUUGUGAUUUAGACUCCAAAUUAAAUUUCUGCAGUUCAUUCCUGUGACAUUUAGAUUCUGACUAAUAAGAAAGUUACUCAAGAGAAGAGAAAUAUUAAAAGAAAAGCGACCAGAAAACAGAAAACUAAGCACGAAAUCACAGUCAACUCUUAAAAGAGGUCCAAUCCAGCCAGAUAAAGCAACAUGUCUAACUAUCACAUAAUAAACACCAGAAAAAUAUCAUGAACAUAAUUAUCAAAGAAAAAAACCUUGAUUGCAUUAAUAAAAAACAAAAGCAGGGGAAUUAACCAAAAGGUAAAGUCUGGGUAACAUUCUUGAGCAUAGAUUCUCGGCACAGCAAAAUCAUGAGCAAUGUAAUACAUCAACCAUAUACAUCCAAUCAAAAACACAAAGUUCGUUUAGUAUUCUUCAUUCAAUGGCUUAUAUAGGUGAAGAAAUGUCAACAAAUUUGUUGAAUAUUCUUUAUUCAACGGCUCAUAUAGGUGAGAAAUGUCUGCAGAAAACAAGUAACUCUUCAAAUUUCAGAUUCCUGAAUAGCUAGCAGACCAAGAACUACCAGCAGAGUCCACCAAAACAUUUCACCUAAGUAGGCAUCUAUCACCUACAAUAAACAGGUAUAGGGACUUGGCACGAGGACUUUCUUUAAAUUCUUGGUUGGAAGUUGAAACAUAAUUAUUAGUAAUCAAACGCCUAAAAUUCUACAGGUUCGGCUCCUCAAAACCGAAAAAUAAUCUAUAAGUUCCAAAAUUCUUUUUUUUUUUUAAAUAAAAGGAAAAAAUUAUUAAAAGCUGGAGAUUCCCAGAUAUGAAGAAGAGUAUGCUGGUAAAGAAAAAAAAAAGAAAGUAGAAAUAAGCAGAAAUAGGAGGUAGAAAGAAAAGUGGUGACACAAUACAGUAUUAUUGUGUGAGCAGGCCCCAAGAGAGGAAGGAAAUCUUGGCUAAUCUACGCAAGCAUUUUGAUUAAUUAGCUUUGAUUAGGACAAAGAGGUUAGUGAGGUAAGGAGUUUGGAAUAAGGCGGAGUAGGCAUUGUAUGUCAAAUUGGACACAAGAAUUAGCUAAAUAUCCUUAAAAUAGGAAUUUGGUUUUCAUGGUAAAUAUCAUUAUUGGAAGUGGACUAGGAGUUCAUCAGCAUCUGUAAAAUAUCAAAACUUACAGUACAGCUUACCUAUAAACAUGUAAAGACAGUUACCACGGGCAAAUCAAUUAGCAUAAUUAACUAAAACAGACACUACCUUAAUACUACAGAUCGGAAGUUCACUUGAACAGGCCCUGAACCCUUAUUUCCAUAUAUCUCAACCCAUAGCCUAAUAAUUAAAUAUAGGACCAUAACACAUUGAUAUCACGGCGGGAGUAUAUAGAAAAUAUCAAGGAAUGUUAGCAACGGGUUCUUGCACAUGUCCAAGAGAACAGGAACCAUGCAACGCAAAAUGUGAGAAAGAUUGUUCUCUGUUCGAGAAAAAGCAAAAGGAGCUAAGUCAACAGAUUGAGCUGCUGUCCAGGGAGCUUUUAGGUCAGACACCCAACAAGCAACCCAUGCCUGCGAAGUAGGAGCCUGACAAAAAGGAGGAGACAACGGGAAAAAAAGAGCUUGAAGUUCUUGAUUCUGCGUGCAAUAGCAAUGACUAUGUUCACCUUUUUCCUAAUAACAGUAAAAGUGAUGAGAAGCAACAGCAGCAUGAAUCUCAGCUUCAACCCUAUGGAAGGCUUUAUGGGAAUUCAGCAAGCAGGAGUUCCCUUUUCAUCAGAUACCAGUUUUAGAGAACCUGCAUUUGUUAAUGCAAGAGUACUAUAACACACCGUCCUUUGGUGUUUGCAGACAAGCACCAUUGGGGUGAAUGGAGUAAUGUUAUGCCCCAAUAGCCUGCAGUGAAAAAGGAAACUGGAAGAAAGAAAAGAUACGGCACAAAUAUAAUACUAUAGAAUAGGUGCAGGCCCAUGAGAAUGAAGAAAUCUGGAGUUAACUCCUUAUGUAUUUUUAGUUAAUUAGGUUAGAUCAGGAGAGAUUAUUUAGGUUAGGAGUUUGGAAUAAGGUAGAUUAGGAAUUAUCUUUUGUCAAAUAGGAAAAGAAAUCAGCCAAAGAUCCCUGACAUUAGGAUCGGCUUUUAUGUGUUGAUCCUUAUUAGGUGAGGACUAGAAGUUCAUUAGCGGCUGUUGAAAAAGAAAGAAUAUGAUAUUGUUUACGUAUAAGGAUGUAAAUAGUUUGCAUAAAUAAAAUCAACCAGCGAAUAAUUAACUAAAAACAGCUUCUAGAGAUCGGUGGCUUCUCCCUAACAAACCCCAAACCAUUCCACAUACCUCAACUCAUAACUUGAUCCUUGAAUAUGGGACCAUAAAUACCUAGGUUUCUGAGCAAGAAGUCUUAAACAUCAUAUUUAAGGCUUAGUUUGCAUUAAACAACCAACAAGAAUAAGAAACUCUAGAAGAAAUUUAUUGAGUAACUGAAGGCUCCCCGAAAAUGUAAAUUUUACAAAAAUAUUCAUAAUGUUUAGUAAGAAACCUUUGCUAAAUAAAAUUAAACCAAGAAAUGCUAAUAUUAAUAGGAUUAGGAAAUAAAAGUAUCAAUAUAAACUGAAAAGCUAAACACUAAUAAGAAUAAAAUCCUAAAGUUACUAAAACUAUAACUAUAAACUCAUAAAUAUUGUAGUAGUUUUAUAUUAACAGAACUAUAAUUUCAAAUCUUAGGCACUCUAGUGCUAGCACAUUCUGCAUCAUGGUGUUAACAGUUCCACAUGGUAAGACAAAUCUAAAAUUAACUGUACAAGUUAACAAGGACUAGAAUGACAAUUUAGCCAAAUGGAAAUAAGAUACUCUUCAAUGAGAAAUAGUUCUAUUCUCAAGGUAUUUUCCUCUUUCCUUUUGCAUAGAUUCAAGCCUAGUCAAUCUAGAUAGAAACUGCUUGCUUGACCUAAUAUUUACCCAAGCUGAUACUUCUUCAGAACCUUGUUUCCUUUUUAAUUCGUAGAAUCUCCAUAAGGUUUAUAACAAUCUGUAUUAAAGCCGAAAGACGACUUAUGAUCUUAAUAUUCUUCAGAACUCAAUCCAAAAAGAAAAGCAUCAACUAGAUUUAAACUAGAUUUACACAAGAGUCCACUUGCUUCCACCUUGUUAUGAUAAUCCUUUACGGUUAUUUAGGAUUAAAUGCAAAGACCUCUUUUAGUCAAGUAUGUUUAUCCUCCAGCUUGUUCUUUCUUCCACGCUCUUCUUUCAUUUUCUAAAUCUAGAAGCCAACCCACUUGAGAAACUGACCACCAAUUCAUCUUCCUCCAACUGCAGUACAAACAUCAGGCUGCGAAACCAGUAUUUGAUUCUAGAGAUCUUAUAGUUUCAAUGCAAGUCUCAGAAUACUUCUGACACUUGGGUAAGACAAUGAAUAGGAUAACUUUGUAUGACAGUGCAGAGUACAGAUGAGCAAGGUUGGUGUGAAAAAGCUUCCUCUUAAAAAUGUUUGCUUGUUGUUGUUUUAAAAGCUUUUUGUCAUAAAAAAGUAAUCAUAGUGCUAGUAAAUUAUUUUUAUAAGAUACAACUGAGAUGCUGUGCAAAAUUUGUGUUUUUGGCAACAAUAGAUGUAAAAGUAUUAUACAAGUACAAUUAACAUGUUUAUAUUUUAUUUAAGGAAAAAAUCUCUUUUGAAGUUAAAAUCUAUUUAUAUAUUCUAUAUUAAUUUUUGGGUAAGAUUAGCAGCAGUAAGAAAUUAAAAUUUGGUCAUUAUUUUUAUUUGCUUCUGUUGAAAGCAUAUUUUGCUGCUUUGAGAAAGCAACUAUGUGGUUGAUUUCCCAAAGCAGCAAAAUUUGCUUUUCCAAUUGAAAAUUUUUUGAAAAAAAAAUCGAAAAAUAGAUCACCAAACAUGACUUCACUGAAAGGACGGUUGUUCUCUGGAGAAAGCAACUCCAAAAGCUUUACCAAAUCUGAGUGUUAAUAUUUUUGCUAUAUACAUAGGCAAACGGAGGAGUACGUAAUAUUAUGACCAUAAUUCCCUUUCCUUAAUAUUUUUUCAAAUACUAAAGUUUAAUUUAAAAUUUUAAUGUAUACCAAUACAAUAAUAUAUUAAAAUAUUUAAAGUAUAAAAUUAUUUUUAAGAAAAUAAUAAUAUAAAAUCAUUUCUGAGAUUUGUAUUUUAAGCUAAUUAUUAAUUUAAUAAAAAAAAUUAAAGAGUAAAUGUUAAUAUAUUUUAAAAAUAUUAGCAACUAAUAUAUAAUUUAAAAUAAAUCUACAUAACAAUAAGACAAAUUUAAAUCCUAAGAUGCUUUUAAAGUAUAAUAUUAUUUUUAAAACAUAAAAUUAUUUUCAAAUUAUCUUUUAAAAUUAUGAUGACUUUAGACCACGAAAAUUCAAACCAGGAAUUUACAAUAAUAGUUCCCAAGUCCGAAAAAGAUAAGAAUCGAGGAGAAUUACUACCUGUACAUGCUCAUCUUUUCCAUAAGCUCCAUGUUAAGAUCUCUAGAGAAUAAUUUAAAUGGAAAUAUAUCAUAGUAGGAACAGAAUUCUCACCUAGCUCCUGCUGCAUCUGAGGUAGAUACAUUGCUCUUUGGGACCCUACAAAAGGAAAGGUUACAGGAUAUGGAAGAGACAUCAAUAUAGAUCCCAGAAAAACAAUCAAAAAGAUAGUCCAGUGCAUUUUAUUAGUAAAUUGCCUCUAAAAUUUGUCAUUUGGUGCCAUGUCACCUUGGAGACCAAAAGUUUGUAAGUCCUAAUAGUUCAACUACUGAAAAGAAGAGUUCAAUGAACUUACGUCGCUUGCUCUGGCGGAGCAGAAACUGAAACUGGUGCAGUUGUUGAUGCAGUUGUUGAUGCAGUUGUAGAAGUGGGCUGGGAUAAAAGCAGAAUCAAUAUUCUACAGAAAAAUGAUACGCAAACAAGAAAAAGCACAAAAAUAAAAGGUUACCUGAGAAGAUGAAGUCCCAGAUGAACCCAGACUUUUGCUCUAUAAGAGGAAAGUUAUGCGUCAGUAAAAUGUACACAGCAUACUGAAAAAUUGAUGCACAGAACAAAGGAAAAUGCAAGGAUUGCCAAUACGGAUUCACCCAAGCAUACAACUGCAAGAGAUCAACUUCAAAGAGCUAAUACUGAAGAGAUCAACUUCAAAGAGCUAAGGCAGGCUACCAAAAUGUGGUAUUCCUACUCGUAUAAGUAGAUGGUUAAAACUUUGUGGUAAAUUGAUACUGACAGUAGAUGCUUGAGCACCCAUUUUUCCAAGGAGAUCCUUGGGGGGUUAUUCUCUUGCAACAAAGACAAAGCUUAAGGCCGAAAUGGUUUCUCCAUGGCUUCAGAGUAGGAAAUUGUUAAGGGUGAUAUUAUUGACCUGUUUGGGGAAUUCUUGCAUUCUAGAAAGUUUUGUUAGUACUUCCAAUGCUUAACUUUUGGUGUUUAUUCCCAAAAGGUUACAGGGGCAAUAAACUUUAGGUACUUCAUACCUAUUAACUUGGUGGGAAGAUUGAGUUACGUUGUUUACUAAGGUGGGGGAAGCUCAACAAGUUUUUGUGAGUCAAGUUGUUGAUAAUGGUGUAUGUAGCUCUUAAAAGAGAACCCCAAUUUUGCUGUGCAAACUGGAUAUUAAAAUGUAUAUGAUCAUGUCUCAUGGUCUUUUUUCCUUUGUCUACUAAACCCCCAACCAACCCCCCACCCCCCCAAAACUGAUGCUAGUACAAACUUUUACUCAUUCCCUUAAUUAGUCAACCGCUACUUGACUUCUUACUAACAAAUCCUAUUAUUUUAAAAAAGAAGCCAAAGAAACCCUGUAGCCAAAGAAACCAUCCUAUUAUUUCAAAUACUUUUAACAUGCUUGCUCAUAGUGAAUUAGUUAUUGCAUAUAUUUCAACAAAAAAAAAAAGGAAUUAGUUUCAUAAGUAUAUAUUUUUUUAUCUGAUUUAUUAUUAAAUUAAUUAAUAAAUGUCAAGUGAAAAACAUUAACUUUUACACUUCCUUACUCAUAUAAAUCUAUUAAACUGCCUUUAUAUGAAGAAUAGUUUAAUUUAAUUAAAAAGAAAAGGCUACUAUAACUUCAAUUAUAUUCCACUUAAUUCUUUUUUAUUUAAAUAUAUAAACAAGGGCAAAUAUGUAAUCAUAUUUCUGUUGAUUUUUAAGUAUUUAAUUAACAAUAAGGGGGAAAAUGCAUUACCUUAAUAUAAAUGGGGUUAAGUGUAUUGGGCGGUGGCUGGUUCAAUAAGGGAUGAGAUUUUUCCCUGGAAGGAUAUUGGUGGUGGGAAGAAACAUGUGGGUCUCAUCUCCUUAGCCAUAUUUGGGUGUCGGAAAAGAGAGAAACAUGAGAACUUUUAAGGGGGUGGAAGGUGAUUUUGAUAGAAUUAGAGAUAAUUGGUUCCAAACCAUGGGUCUUCGAUUAUAGGUCAUCCACUUUAUUUUAUAGAGAAUUUUGGAGAUCUCAUUGAUAUUCUGAUUGAAAUUUUAAAUAUUUUUGUAUAUGGGUUGGAACACUUGAUGCUUGUGAAUUUAUUAUUUACCGUAACUUUAUUUUCAAAAAAAAAAGGAACAUGAGGCUUUAAUUUCUGUUCUCACCAUGGUAAGAUUUGAUGGAAUCAAUAACCAGCCCAUUUGGAGGCUUAAUGCUUCUGGAGUGUUCGCGGUUAGAUCUUUAUAUAAUCAUUUGACUAAAAAAAGAGAUAUCGAGUAUAGGAUUUCCAUUUAAGCAAAUAUGGAAGGUUAAUGCUUCUCCUAGAAUUAUUUUCUUGCUUGAGAGGCAAGCAGGGGAUGUAUUCUGAUUUUAGAUAAACUGAUCAAGAGGGGUAGGAUUCUAGUCAAUGGGUGUUAGUUAUGCAAGAGAAAUGCAAACUUGUGUUAUCAUAUCUUCUUGUGAUAUUGGCAGGGGGAAGAAACAUAUUAGCCUCACUUCCCUAGUCACUUUCUUGGUGGCCUGGAAGGAGCAAAACAAGAGAGUUUUUGAUAGCAUGAAAGUGAACUUCGAUACGGUUAAAGAUAGGUGGUUGCAAACCCAAAGUUAUUAUUAUGGGCUAUCUUCUUUAUUCAUCUGAGGAUUCGGAGAACCUUAUUGACAUUAUGAUAGAUAUGUAAAUACCUUCGUACAUGGGUUUGCACCCCUUUAGUGCUUAUGAAUGGAUUAAAUCAUACUAUUUUUAUUUCUAAAAAUAUAUAUUGAUUGUUCACAUGAUUUUCAAUCAAUUCCAGAAGUUAAAGUAUAGAAAGCUUGAUAGGCCAUAUGCUGCUUUCUAUAAAGUCCCAAACCUCUAAGCUUGCACCUCCCUACCCCUGAUACUUUCAAGGAACCUUACUAAUAACUAAACAUCUAGAUUUGGACAUUGCUAUGAUGAAGAGAAACUGAGCACAUAUUAUUUCAAAAACUUUGAAUACAAAAUGAUCAAAUUACUUGUACCUUCCUAGUACAAUACCUUUUUUUCUGGAGAGAAUCUCUAGGAGUUCAGUAUCUUCAUGUCACUAAACAAGAUCCAAAUUAAGAGUAUGUUUUAUAUUAUGCAUGAUACUUAAAAUACAUGGCAUUUUGAUUGUGAAAAUACACCAGAUUUAAGGAUAUUUGCGAGAUAUUAUUUAUUAGGUACAGAAAGACGUUUAAGAUUGAUGCAUCUAUAAAGAUGUAAAAUGACAUGGAGAACAAUCUCCAAUUUAGUUAAUAGAGGAAACUCAAUUUAGGGCUAUUAAUUUUCAAUGAAAUCUAUUCUUCCCCCCUGAUGCAGCGAAAAAAACUGGAACUUCUAAACUAUAAUAAAUAUUUCUGAUUCUUUUCUUUUUUACUAUACAUAAGAUUGUAUGCUGAUCGUUGCUUAGCUUUUCUAUUAAGUUGUUUUCCUUAAUUAUCCUAUUCCCUCCUAUUGACAAGAAUAAGGUAUACUCCAACAAAUAAAUUUAAAAGAAACAAUGAAAGAAGGAAGAAUCAUCAAAAAACAAUUACUUAUUUGUUUUUUGUGAAUCCCCAGAUGACCUUAGCUAAAUCUUUUUAUCAAAACCAGAAGCCAUGGCUUUCUCAAUCAACAAAAUGUUAAGAAUUUCCCAGAAUAAUGACAAAAUCCUCUAAUUUGUAGAUAAAAAUUAAGAUUAGAAAAUUUUUUUUGAACAAAAUGAAAACUAUAAAAAAUUAGCAUAUUUAAAGCAUUUAUAAACAGACACACUUAAUAGAGUAAUGUCUCUGUCUAUUUUUCUCAUUUCUGGAAAAAGAAGAUAGUGAGCAAACAGGAACUCUGUCAGUAACAUUAUCUUAGGCCAAAAGAAAUAAACAUAGCUUGGUAAUAACUCUGCUUCAAUAAAUCUAAUGGAAAACUGCCUACCCCGUUAUUUUACUUUCCAUAAUUGACAUGAUAGUUGACGAAUUUAUCCAAUUCAACACAUAAGGGGAAGGAAUAAAGCAAUACAGUAAAAUAAUUUGCUAGUCAAAUGAGCAAAUCCAGUCAACAUCAUGUUUGACUAUAAUGCUAAACAUGAUGAAGAUAUUUCUGAAACAUAUAACAAUGAAUCCAUAACUAAAAAAUAAAUCACUUCGUGUAAUAGAUCAUCGGACAUGUAACAAGUGUCAUCAUUGCAAAACUACAAGUUUCACUUAAAAUGGAUGUGAUGGUAGAUAUAGAAAGUACAAAUAUUUACCUAAGCAUGAACUGACAAGAGUAGAAACAUAACUAAAACAUUAUUUAGUCAACUAGCUCCAAAUAAGAUAAAAAUGAAAUAAGUACCUUGCUAAGCAUGACAACAAGAAAACCGUCUUCAGAAACUUUGUUGUCAGCGAGCGUAGUUUCAUCCUUCAAGACCUUUCCAUUGUGAAUCAAUAGCUGCUGGCCACAUGGAUAAUUGUCUUUCCCUUGAACAUCUUCAAUAUUUUUCUUCACAGCCAUAAUCUUAAGGAAAACAAGCAGAAUUAAGCUCAAGAAAACCAAAAAAGAUAAUUUCCAAUGCCUCAAACAGCAUGAGGAUUAAACAUAAUAAAACUCCUAUUAUGCUAUUUCAAAAUUAUUCAAAAAAUUCAAAUGAAUUAUUCAUCAAUUGAAUCAGAUAAAUCUUUCAACUUCUUUCCUGAACAACGAUUAAAAAAAUUUUAAAAAACCAGUUUAAAGCAUGUGUGCAUAAUAAGAACAGUUUUAACAGCAUUGAGCAACCGAAUCAAAGUGACCACAGAUUUCAUUUUUAAAUAAUACUAAGAAGCCGCAAAAAUUCCUCCACACAAGUUCAGAAUUGUAUAGAUAUAAUCACAUAUCCAUGUUUCAAAAUUAAAAAAAAAAAAAAUUAGAGUAGACACGUCUGCGUACAUACUUUACAAAUAAGCACGAAGUAAGGCUGUAUAUGUUCAUAACAAUAAAAGCGAAUAAAAAGAGAGAGAAACAACUCACGGUCUCUGUGGGCUGAACCCUAAUUUCGAAAUGGCUGCCUUUAAGAGUCUUGACUGUCAGCUUCAUCUUGGCGAAUUAGUAAAGGUGCGGUCCUGUAUCCCUUCAAUCCAGACUACACGGAGAGUAUCGAGAGACAAAGACAGCAGAAAAAGAAAUAUAUAUAUAUAUAUAUAUUCAAAAGAACCCUAGAAAUCGCUUUUAAGGGAUCGAGAAUUAAUCCCAAAAUGGUGUGUGUUCACCAUAUGCGUGCGUUUUGCACUAAGCAGAGAACGAGGUGGCACAGCUUUUGUUUUUGUUUUUUUGCCCUUUUUCUUUUAGAAUACUAGAUAUUUGAAUUUUAAAUAAAUCUAUUAUUUACUAUUUUAUCUAUUAUUUGUCAUCUAUUAUUAUGUAAUAAUAAGUAAUCCGCAUACAUGCAUGCAUUAAUUUUGUAUUCAUUAAUAUAUUUUUAAAAAUUAAAAAUUAAUGUAUUAAUAUUAAUUAUAAUUAUUAAAACUAUAAUUUUAAGAUAAAAUUAUUUUUCUAGAAUAAUUAAUUACCAAUUAUAAAGGAAUAAGCUUAUAAAAAUAAGGCAAAUGUUAUGUAGUGUUUUCUUAUUUCUUAAAUAAUUUUAUAAGCAGAAAAAUAUAAUUACUAUAUUAAUAUUUUUAUAAUUAUGCAAUUAAUAAUAUUUGAUGUUUUCAAUUAGUUUAAAUGUAUUAUGUAUUUGAAUUUUAAAAUUUAAAAUAUAUUUUAAAUAAUAUUUAAAGUCUUUCACGUUCAUUAUUUAGAUUAUUUAUUUAAAUUUUUAAAUAUAAAAAUAUAAAUUAAAGAACAUAAAAUUUUUAAUUGAUUGAUAUAUAUUAGGAAUUGUUUUAAUCUCAGGUUUUAAAAAUUUUUUAACUUAUAAAUAGCAAGUAUUUAUAUUGCAAAAGUCACCAUCAUCAUAAUAUUCUUUUAUUUAUAUUAGAAUUUAUACUUCUCUGAUAUUCAAGAUUAAUGUUUUUUUGGUUUGUUUUCAGUAAGUGCAAUGUUAUAAUCUAACAUGCAGUUCGUAAUACAUAUGCAACUAAAUUUAACAAAUAGAGUAAAAAAACGAAAACCUUGCAUAAUGUUUGUGCUAGUGGAAUCAAUGAAAAAGGUUGGAGGUCAAGAACAUUAUGAUGAGAAAUUAUUAAAUUUAAUACGAAGAAUAAUUUGAUAAAGAUAUUAUUGCACAUUUAUUAAUUCAUUUUUCACAAAAAUAAUAAUCAGACAAAGUAUCUUUGAAGCUCCUAUAUAUUUUGUAUUUUUUUCAAAUAAGCUUCUAAAUCAAGUUUACAUUUAUUUGGUCAUUUACUUUCAAAUUUUCUCUAAAUAAAAUUGCACAACAAACAAUUAUUUGGAACUUAUUAAACUUUUUCACAUGUGACUGAUGAUGUGGUUGUUAUUUAUGUUGCUAAAAAUAUUAAUACUUGAAAGUCCAUGUAUAAUUUAAUUUUUUCAAAUAAACUCUUGUACUAAUUUUUCAUUCAUAUUGAUCAUAUACUUUCAAACUUUUUUCAAAUAAGCUAUCACUAUAAAUGGUCAUUUAAAACCCAUUAAACUAUACGUAUAUGACAAAUGACAUGGCCACAUUUUAUGUUGGUGUAACAUGUAUGUUGACAUGUUAUUCACGUAUAAUAGACAUUUUAUUUUUUAAUUUUUAAUAUCUAAGUUUAUUUUUUUAUUAAAAGUUAAUAUUUAAAUUAUUUCAAACAAUAGAACUUCCUACCUCUAAACUCUCACAAUUCUGUAUACAAAACAUCUUCCAUCCUUUUACAAUUAUUUAUUAGAUUUAUUCUUUGAAUAUCCAAUCAAAUUUAAGAUUCAAAAUUUAGGCAAUAGAUAUUAUGUUAGUAGAAGGAAAGAUGUUCAUAUUAGGAUUUAUCAAUUUCAUUUCACUCAUUUAGGCUUUUCUUGAAUCCUAGAUGCAAGAAUUCACAAUGUUUAAAGAAUAAAACCUUCAUAGGUUUAAAAUAAAAAAAGUAACAAGAGUUUUGUUAUAUACUGAACUUCAUCUCCUCCCUCGAGUUUUUAUUCCAUUAUUACCUUUGCACGUCUCACCAGUGUUGUAAUGAAAUCAUUCUUACUCUCUAAUGUUUGUGUCGCAUGUCUUAUUGCCGCCAACUUCUUCUAUUCUAGUGCUAUACAUCAUUUUUCAACACUUGAACGUUCCAUGAACUUGUGGUGGGGAUAGGUUAAAGAGAGACUUUUGUUCUAACUUUUAUACUAUCUCUUCAUUUUUAUAGUUUUAAUGGCUUUUUUCUGGCUACAAAUGAGGAAAAAAAUAAAAACACGAACAAAACUAAUGCCCAUUGGGAUGGGCCUACAUAAUAUUAACAUGGUUCAUAUACAGAUAAACAUGAAGAUCCAUAGGAGCCUCAGAUAAUACCAAACCACCCAAGGGCUAUGUUGAGCCAAUCAAACCAUAUGAAUUGUGCAAGUAUUACCCUUAUUAUGAAUAUAAGAGAGCUAAAUAUCUUAAUCAAGGCAGAACACAUAUGUGAUAUGAUUUUCUAUAAUAAUAUGAUCAAAGUGGUGGAGGAAUGGUUGUUGGAAGAUAUGCUUGAUCUGGAAUAAAUCCACCUUGACAAUGAGUUUUUUAAGGACUGAUACUUGUCACGCGUUACUACCUUGGUCAACAUAUUAGCUAAAUUUUUAUCAGUAUGAAUAUUUUUCAAUAAUAUCUCUUGAUUAUUCACCACUUUACGAAUCCAAUGAUAUCUCAUAUCAAUAUACUUAUUAUAUAAAUCUGAACAGUAUCAAAGGGAAUUUCUAUGAGGGAGUCGAAACCCGUGAGGAUUCCUUCCUUAAGUUGAAAGCCUGAAACCCGAGCAUUGAACAGGAAACCAAGGAAGGGUCUAGUUUUUUCAUAUUCUGUCCCAAAAAAUAAAGUAGUUCAAAGACACUUAAGAUGGACUUGAGGAGUUAAGAAACUGGAUCUAAGUACCUUCUGACCCAAUCACAAGAAGUCGUGCCAAUAAGUUUCAACUACCAUUCAAUUUAUUGGCCUAAGAAUGGGUUAAGGAGGAGCUUAACUAGGAGGCCCAAGACAAAGUUCAAGCAAGGCUGGUCGGCCUUGGAGAGUGGUGGACAACAUGUGCCGCGUAUGUGAACCUUCUUGUUCACAUGUGCCACGCAUGUGAACCUUUUUAUUCAUAUAUGCGGGUAGUCGCAUGUGUAGAAAGGAGACCUCGCAUCCAUGGGACCCUUUCUCAUGUGAAGAAGUAAGAGGGAAAGCGGGAAAGCCUCUUCCACAUGCUGAGAAGUGCACUAGUGUGGGAGCAGCAGGCCACACCCACAAAGUUGCUCACAUGGGAGUCGCGCACGUGCAUAAGACCACGUACAUGAGGAGUCAUAAAUGUUGACACCCGAGCGCCUGUGGGAAGCCAUGCCCACACGGGUAGGGCGUGCAGACUGAGUUGAGGUUGAGGAGGACUCUUUUUCCUUGAUCCUUUUUCUACAUGUGAUUUGCAAGAUCAAUUUUCUAAGAAGAAUUCUAAGGCAACUAGAAAUCUACAGAGAGAUUAAAGGCACAUGGGAAAUACGGUGAAAAUGAGAAGAAUCUUCUAGUUAAUAUUAAUAUUUUACUAAUAUUUUAGAGUUAAUCUUUAUUUAUAUGAUUAUUUUAUUAUUAAUUUGGGUUUGGGAUUUAGAUAAGUCUAUAUUUGAGAUAUAAUUUCAAUUAAAUUAUAGUAUUUAUUUUUUAAUAGAAUUUACCUAGUGAAAGCUUGUAUAAAGGCCUCACCUUAUAUUUUAAUUCAUAACUUUUAAUAUCAAUAAAAUUAUUUAGUUUAUUUUUAAAUCAAAUUUGCUAAUUUUGAGAGUGAGUGGUCAUCAAUAGAGCUUACUUCAAUCAUCUUGUUGAGCUAAGGAAUCUUGAAUUGACUUAUGGGAUAAGUCAUGACAUCUUUUAAAUUCCUUCUUAUUUUUCUAAUUACCUUAAUANNNNNNNNNNNNNNNNNNNNNNNNNNNNNNNNNNNNNNNNNNNNNNNNNNNNNNNNNNNNNNNNNNNNNNNNNNNNNNNNNNNNNNNNNNNNNNNNNNNNNNNNNNNNNNNNNNNNNNNNNNNNNNNNNNNNNNNNNNNNNNNNNNNNNNNNNNNNNNNNNNNNNNNNNNNNNNNNNNNNNNNNNNNNNNNNNNNNNNNNNNNNNNNNNNNNNNNNNNNNNNNNNNNNNNNNNNNNNNNNNNNNNNNNNNNNNNNNNNNNNNNNNNNNNNNNNNNNNNNNNNNNNNNNNNNNNNNNNNNNNNNNNNNNNNNNNNNNNNNNNNNNNNNNNNNNNNNNNNNNNNNNNNNNNNNNNNNNNNNNNNNNNNNNNNNNNNNNNNNNNNNNNNNNNNNNNNNNNNNNNNNNNNNNNNNNNNNNNNNNNNNNNNNNNNNNNNNNNNNNNNNNNNNNNNNNNNNNNNNNUCACUUGUAUUUUACCACUCUCAACUUUAAACUUCACUUGCCAAGUUGAACGUUGAGAAUGGGAUCUCUUAAAUUGAGUCCUAUAAGUUGAAAGUAAUUUUGCAAGAAAAUUCUAAUAGGCUUUAGACGUUUAAAACAUGCACGAGUGAAUAAAUGUGCAAUAUAGACUAAAAAAUACAAUAAAUUUAAAUAUGGAGCAAAGGUUUUCGCACGCCUUACAUAAAUGUUUAAUAUUCUUUACUUAUGCAAUACGAAAACAAAAGUUUUUGCACACAUCUGGUUAGUGAGGUUAAUAUUCUUUUGACAAAUCAAAAUUUCUCGUCACUUGAUAGGUGGUUAAUCUUCUUUGGUUUAUAUGCAACAUAAUGACUCAGGUUGCCUUAUGGGGUGCAACUAGUUUUCUUGAGUUUUAUAAUUAUAUAUAUUUUUUUGACUUGAUACAUCAAACAAACUUCCACUUGAAAGAAUGAACAUGAUAGGAUCAAGCAGGAUUCAAAUUCACAAGCAAUACAGAUUAGCAAUGAGGUGUUUUUGUUGUUAAUUAUGCAAGACACAAUGUAAAGUAAGAUAAUACAGUAUGCUCAAUAAGGUUCCUAAGCUUUCAUACCAAAUGGCGUGGGGUGUAGAACAAUUACUCCACGGCUUAAAAACACUCUGAUCAUGAACCUACUUUAUUCAACAAUUCAAAACUUAGUUACCUAAAUUAAACCCCCUAUUAGAAUUACAAACAAUGUAUUGAAGGUUUAUUCAAGUAACUAAGAAAAAUAAAAAGAAUAGAGAAAGACGCCACAACUUAUCUGAUAAGUCGAUCUCGAUUCCAUGCUCCACAAAACAGUAUGAAGCUCCUACCUUGAAGACACCUAAAGAACUUGAAAAUUAACAGAGCUAAUUUAAAACAAAAGCUUUUCUUUAUUGAAUUUUGAAGAUAUGUAUUUUACAAUCUAUGGUGAACCCUUUUUAUAUGAUUUCACUUGAUCACGUCUAUUAUAAUACAAAUACUUGAAUUUAAUCCAAAUUCUACCUAGAUAAUUGUUUAUCCUAAUCUGAGGAUUAAAAUACACUUAAAAUAAUCAUGAAAAUAAUAAUUUAUUCUAAUCUUAAGAUUAAAAUAAUAAAUAUUUAAUCCUAAAGAUGAAACAUAAAAUUAAAUUAUAAUAAAAUAAUAUUAAAAUAUUUAUGUAGAUAAAUUUUCUCAUUCUUUUCAUGUGCUGAAAGUAGAGUUACUAUAAAAUCCUUAAAAAAAUUGGCCGCCAAAAACACAUGGAGAAAUUGGAGAAAAGGAGUACAUGCGGUUACACUUCUUCCCACACAUAUGUUCCUUUUUGUGGGAAGGAAAUCCCACAUGCCUCACCCAAAUGGGAGAGAAAAGCUCACAGGUGGGGCAGGUUGCAUGUAGGGNNNNNNNNNNNNNNNNNNNNNNNNNNNNNNNNNNNNNNNNNNNNNNNNNNNNNNNNNNNNNNNNNNNNNNNNNNNNNNNNNNNNNNNNNNNNNNNNNNNNNNNNNNNNNNNNNNNNNNNNNNNNNNNNNNNNNNNNNNNNNNNNNNNNNNNNNNNNNNNNNNNNNNNNNNNNNNNNNNNNNNNNNNNNNNNNNNNNNNNNNNNNNNNNNNNNNNNNNNNNNNNNNNNNNNNNNNNNNNNAGUUUUCAAAUCUUUCUAAUAUCAUGUCAUCAAGUCUUAGAGUGAGUCAACAACAACGUUUACACCAGUUAAGCAUGGAGUGUUCAUUAUAUUUUAUGUUUCUCUUUUUAAUGUAGGUGAAGAUUGGAGGAUGAAUCUUUUUAAAGAAGGUGGGAUGAUGUGAAUCCAUACAGUAUCAAGGGGAAUUCCUGUGAAGGAGUAAAAACCCACGAGGAUUCUUCGCUUAAGUUGGAAGCCACUAGCUAGAGCACUGAUAAGGAAACCAAAGAAGGGUUUAGUUCAUUUCCUAUCCUGUCCCAAAAAGGAAAACAAUUCAAAGGCAUUCAAGAUGGGUUUGGGGAGUUAAGAAACUGGAUCCAAGUACCUUCUGACCCAAUCACAAGAAGUCAGACCAAGAAGUUACAACUAACAUUUAAUUUGUUGGUCCAAGAAUAGAUCAAGGAGGAACUUAAUUAGGAGGCCCAAGAUAAGAUUCAAGCAAGGUCGACUGGCCUUGGAGAGUGGCAGUCAACAUGUGCUGCUCAUGUGAACCUUCUUGUUCACAUGUGUGGGCAGCCGCAUGUGUGGAAAGGAGACCUUGCAUCCACAAGAUGCUUUCCUUGUGAGGAAACGAGAGAGGCGUGCGGGAAAGCCUAUUCCACAUGCUGAGAAACGCACUUGUACGGGAGCAGCAUGCCAUACACACGAAGCAUGAGACCGCGCGUAUGAGGAGUCACACAUGUAAGAUUUCGCGUGCAUGUAAAAAGCCAUGCCCAUGUAGGCAAGGCGUGUAGACUGAGUUGAUGCCAAGGAGGACUCUUCUUCCUUGAUCCUUUUUCCAAUGUGAUUUGCAUGAUCAAUUUUCCAAGAAGAAUUAUAAAGCAACUAGAAAUCUAAAGAGAGAUUAAAGGCACAUGGAAUAUGGUAAAAAGGAGAAAAAUUAUCUAGUUAAUAUUUUAUUAAUAUUUAAUUAAUAUUUUAGAGUUAAUCUUUAUCCAUAGGAUUAUUUUGUUAUUAAUUUGGGUUUGGGAUUUAGAUAAGUCUAAAUUUAGGAUAGAAUUUUAAUUAAAUUGUAAGACUUUUUUCAGUAGAAUUUAUUUGGUGAAACCCUAUAUAAAGGCCUCACUUUAGGUUGUAAUUCACAACUUUUAAGAUCAAUAAAAUUAUUUAGUUUAUUUUCUAAUUUUGAGAGGGAGUGUUCUUUAAGAGAGGUUAUUUCAAUCAUCUUGUUGAGCCGGAGAAUUUUGAAUCGACUUAUUGGAUAAGUCAUGACGUUUUUUUAAUUCCUUUUUGUUUUCCCAUUUAACUUAAUAGAUUUCACUUUAUUGAUUGUGAUUUAAGUAGAGAGGGUUUAAUUUAGACAAUUAAGUAUCUGCAUGCUAUGUAUAAUGGGUUCAUGAUCAAUGUAUUUUUUUAUCCUGGAGCUCCCGAUGUCAACUUAGUUCGACAAUGAUAUGUGACAUUAUUACUUAAAUCUAUAGCACUUUGGCUAUCAUAAUUCAUCAUAUAUUUAUCUUGCCUCAAAGGCAGCUCUUUAAGAAAUUUUUUCAUAUAGAGAAUUUUUUUGCCUACUUUAGUCGUAGCUAUAUACUCUACCUCAGUUGUGGAUAAAACAACACAUUUUUGCAAUUUAGACUAUUAUGAUACAAUUCCCCUCGCAAAAGUAAACACAUGACCUGAAGUAAAUUUCCUACUAUCAAGGUCACUGACCAUAUCCACAUCUGUAUAUCCCUUUAGAAUUGAUUUUGAGCUUCUAAAAUAUAAGCACAUCUUAGAGUAUCUCUUAAAUAUCUAAGAAUCUAUUUUACAGUCUCUUAGUGAUCUUUAUCAAGAUUAGAAAAAAACCUGCUGACUAGACCAACAACAUGAGAAUAUUUGGUCGGGUAUAAAUCAUAACAUGCAUUAAACUCCUAACUGUAGAGGAGUAAGGAAUGAUUGUUUGAUGUGAACUUGAACACAUAAGAAAGGCAUUUCUAAGAGAGUUGAGAGAAGUAUGCCCGUGAGUAGUAAGGAGAAUCCCAUGUUCGCGAGAUCACCUGCGAGAAAUGCUCGAGAGAUGAAGUCCGCGUUUAUAAGGACAAUACAGGAGGCCAUCCGCGGGUGCACCAAAACAACAUGCAUAGGCCCAACAUCCACGCACCUAUAAGGCACGCAGAAGAGAAAUCCCACACCUGCAGGGAUUCCCAAACCCACAAAAAUAUAGAUUCCUCUUUCCCUUUGGAUUUUCGCGAGCUUGUAACAAAAAAUGAAAGUCUAAUCCGCCUACUCUAGUUUCCUAACUAGUCUCAAGCCCAAGAACAAUCCAAAAUCAUUCAAGAUAAGCUUAGAGAGUUAGAAAAUUUGAUCCAAAUACCUAUAGGCCCAAUCAUAAGGAAUCGGUCCAAGAAACUUUAAUAAACUUUCAACUAUUUAGUCUAAGAGUAAAUAAUUGAGGAGUUGACUUUAGAGGCCAAAGAAGUUACAAGAAAAAGCCCAGAUUUCAUGGGCAACUUACAGGUUAAGCAUGUCAAACAUGUGAGUGUCCUAAUCACAUGUGUAGCCAAGGGAAGGAACCCAAUCCCAUGGGUUUUCUUGCAGAUUGAGGAAUUCUUCCUCAUUUAAAACUCAUCUCCUUUCAAGAUCAGAUUAAAGAGUCCUUCUAGGACUUAAAGUUGCAACAUUAAGAGGAUAAGGAAGAACAAAACAAGUUCUAGCGCAACUAGAAGUUGUGGGAAACAGAUCCCACAUGGGAAAGACUCCCGCCAGUGUGGGAGAGUUUUAACUCAAGAGGGACAAUCUUCUCUCUUCAUUUUUCACACUUUUUCGUGUCAUUUGUUUUCUUUUUCAAAUAAGAUUCAUCCUAAAAAGGAGUCUUCACCAAAUUAAAGAUAAAAUUCAAGAAGAAGACAAGGAAAACAUGGUGAAAUUUGGCCAUGAGAGGAGAAGAGCACUUUGACUUUGAUUUUUUUCUUUUAAUUAUUAUCUUAAGUUUUUUGAUUAUGAUACGUUUAGUUUUAGAUUAAGAUAAUCUAAGAGUUUGAGAUAAAUAAUAAAGUUUGAUUUUAUUUAGAAUUAAUUUGUUGCAAGCUUAUAUAAAGGGUUUACACUUAGAUUAUAAUACAUAAUUCAAUUCAAAUCAAUAAAAUUUUAGUUUAUUUACUAAUUAACUUAUGCUAAUAUGUGAGAAUAAGAGUUCUUCAAGUGAGGUUUCUUCAGCCGUCUUGUUGAGCUAGUGACUUGAAUCGACUUAUCGGGUAAGUCAUGAUGUCUUUUCUAUUCCUAUUUUUAUUAUCAGUUACCUUGGUUGAUAUUCAUAUGUUGAAUAUAGGUCAGUUAGGGAGGGCUUAUGAUGCAGGAGGGACAAGAAAAGGUUGUUUGACUCUCGAAACCUCUCACAACAUAGAAAAUAGAAAGCUUAACCACUUAAUUUUCCCUUCCUACUUAAAACCACAACCAACAAUAUGGAUUGUAAUUCAAGGUAACUGGGAAAAAAAAAAGAAAUAAAGAGACGCAAUGGCUUACCCGAUAAGUCAAUUCUGAACUCUUUGGCUCAACAAGGCUUCUGAAGCUCCUUAGAAGACGCUUGAAAAACACUCACAAAAUUAGCAAAGCUAAUUUUAAGAAGCAAGAAAAAACUUGAAAUUUUUUUUGAAUUCUUAAAUUUGAUAGUUGUUGUUACAAACCUAAGAUUAAAGCUUUUUUAUAGACUUUAUUCUACUAAUACGACUCAUAAUAGGAUUACAUAUUUCUACUUUAAUUCUAAGACUUAAUUUAAUCACGACUCUUGUUAGGAAUUAAUUAAAUAAUUAAAUCUUUAUCUAAGAUUUCAAAUAAAUUAUAAAAUAGACUAAAUUACUUGAAGUAGACUUCUUCUUCCUUUGGUCGAACUUCUUAGUGGAAAUUUAUGUUUGUUUUAGUCUUUAACAUUGAGUAGAAUUUCAAAAGGUUGUAGCAUUGGAGUUAUAUGGAAACAAGGAAAUGAAAUAAGAGUCCAAAUUAGAAUCAAGACUUAUGGACAGGUUAUCUGCAUGCAACUAGUGUGCAGGCCUACUAGUUGCGUGCUUCUAGCAUCUGUAAAAGCUUCUUUGUGCACGCGGAUGAUGCGUGUAUGCAGCUGGUCCAACCUGCGCAUGUGUGCUCUCCUAUGCACUGUUUAUUGGGGUGUGUACGCGUACAUGCGUGGCUCUGUUGCAUGCAGCUUUUGUUUACCUGCAUGCCCCAUCUGCUCCUUCGUGCGAGUGUUUUUUCCUACUCAUGUGACUCCCCCCACAUGCGUACAUGAUGAGCACACUCACCCAUACUAUGGUUUGGGCUUUUUCUUAGGCCAGAAUCUUUGAGUCGAGUCUUUCCUUAGUUGUAAGGCCUAAUAACUUUUUUAUCUUGGGCUAUGGCUUGUUCCUUUUCCUUCUAGGCAAAUGUCCAAGACCAUUUAAUACCUUAUGAGCCCUUGAUUUGCUUCUUUUCUAGUAUAGGAUUUGGAGAGGUCCCGCAUGGGCAAUCUCUAUUCGGGAGCACUUCCUAGCAUGCCUUAGAAGUACAUUAUUGCACAAUUACUUUCGCCCUCCCCAACCCCUAUUGUUGUAUCCUCACGGAUGGUUGGAUUCUAGAAAUAUUCAUGCACUUGGGUCUCCCACUUGUCACAAGGACUUUUCUCACCCAUUAUCACAUCAUUUCCCCUUCUUUGGGAAGGUUCGCCCUUGAAUCUAUGCUAUUUGUAAUUUUUUUUUCUAAAGAAAAGGUAGUUAAGAAAAGUACCAAGCAAUCUGCAGAAUAGCUAGGCACAAGUGAAUGGUCCUGCACGAGGAAAUAAUUCUUGGUCCUUGUUGGGGCUUUUGUUUUUCUUUGUUUCUUGUCCUAUGAGCUCAUCAUAAGACUUCUUAAUCUUGAGCUAGUAUUCAUAUGAUUCUCUUCUUGAUAAUGGAGUUAGAAUAUGGGCGAGACCUCCUAUACACACCGAAUAAUGAUUUUUUCCACUAACAUGAUUAACAUUCUUGUCAUACUGCCAUGGUCUCCCUAACAAUAGAUGUUUUACUUGCAUAAGAACAACAUCGUAUGUUACCUCGUCUUCGUAUAUACUAACAAAAAAUAGAACUCGAACCUGUUUGGUGACAUUGACUUCCGUAAUGUCAUCUAGUCAAUGUAGUUUAUAGGGAUUAGGGUGUGGUGUACAAGUCAACUAUGCCCUACCCACCAGUAGAGUGUUGGCGACAUUAAUGCAACUCCCUUCAUCAAUAAUCACACUGCAAAUCUUUCUUUUAAUGAGACAUUUGGAGUGGAAGAUGGUUUCUUUCUAAAUGUUAUCUUUUAAGUUUAUCAGCAUGUGUAGAGUUUGUUGCGUAAUACUUUCCUCACUGGCCCCAAAUAAUGGUAGAUCUUUUUGUUUAUUUUAUUGUCAAGAUCACUAAUUACAUCCACAUUGUAAUAUCCGGGCCCGGAUUUUGGCCUGAGAUUAAUUCCAACAUUUUAAAUAUAAAAAAAUAUUUUUAAAUUAAUUUAUUUUAAUUUUUUAUUGAAUUUAUGAAAAAUUAGGUUAUGGAUGAAAUUAAAAACAAUUUUAGAAAAAAGGGGUGAAAAUUUGAGUUCGGUGGAUGUUUUUGAAAGAAAAUCGGAAAUUGGGGAUUAAAGUGCAAAUAAGAACAAUUUUUCCACAUUGGACCGCCUAGUCAGCAACCCCUACGAACAAGAGCACGCUGCGUGGUAAGGCACGUUAACGUCGAUGCCACGCGGGAUGCCAUACGGGCGACCCCCCUUUAAACGCGAUUAGAUAGUUGAGAUUAAAUCGCGAUGAACGGUCCAAAUUCAUUUUCUCUUUAAAUGCAAUUAGAUGGUUGAUAUCAAAUGCGAUGAAUGGUCUAGAUUAACGCGAGAUGGAUAUAAAUAUUUCGCAUCACACUGAAUCUAAACCCUAGCCGCUAGCCUCUCGCCAAAGAAGAAGAACCAGUCACCAGAGAAGGGAGCCGACCACUGACCACCGCCGCACCAUAGCCACCUCCUAUCCGCUCAAAAUUUAAUUCCAAGUACCCUCAUGGUCAAAUCGGAGCAAAAAGAACGGCGGGUGAGCUAAACACCGUGGGUAAAGCCCGACGACGUCGUCGCAGGCAAAACCCACAACCUCAUAUGAUGAGCCCCUUCCCAUUUCCCGUUUCAUUCGAUUUUUUCACCGUUGUGUUCACCAUUCUAUUUUCUACAGGUUGACCAAAGAAAAACUCUCCGCCGCAAGGGUGAGCCUGUGGUGCCACCGCACUCGAAAAACACCACUGCCGGUAGGUUUUCAUUUUUUUAUUUUUUCGGCCAACCGAGACCCCCUAACGUGUUUUUUCACAAUGAUACAUAUAAAGUCAGUUGAAACUAGCCAAAAUCGGCCAAAAAUGACCAGGUUGAGGUAAACUGCCGCGACAGGCAGUGGUGCAGUCGCCGGAGCACAGUAGUGUCGAAACCCCAAAAUUUGUCAGAAAGGAUUUUUUUCCACCAAUUUUGGAUUCCUAGGUUAUUUUUAGGUACGUGAUAAAUGUUUUGAAUUCUGCAGGGAUAAUUCAGAAAAUCCGGGGACCGUUAGUAGGCGAAGUAGAAAGUUCAGUAUUCCGGACACCGAUUCAGGUAAGGAUCCCUCACCUUUUUCUCUGUUACGGUAAAUUAAGACUUAAUAAUUAAUAAUUGUGUUUCUAUGAAAAAUUAGAGAAUCUUAAAAAUAAUUACAGGUCACUAGUGGAUACAGAACCGGUUAGUUCACAGUCGUUUCGAUUUUCAGUUUAUUUCUUUAUAUUGCCUAUAUUUGUUUACUAUUAUAUGGUGCAUAACUCAAUUAAUGGUUUUUAGGGUGUCUUUAGUUAUUUUGUUAUUUGUUUCCCCUAUAUUGCGUGGUGGUAUCCUGAUCAUUGGUUAUUUGGCAGUGUGAAACUAUAUUGUUGUUUAAAUGAACAGUGAGUAUAAAAUGAAAUAUGGUUAUUGCAUGGUUAAUUUUUAUGAUGAAUAAGAAUCUGUAUAGGAAAGACUUAUUAGGUACCCAAAAAAGGGGCGGACGGACCCGAUACAUAGGGAACCCUACCGUAAACAUUACCUCAGUUGGACGGGAUUGAGAAGUCCCUUACCAGAAAGAUUUGGGAGAUAUGGUUCACCUUCAUACUGGACGGGGUAUCGAGGUGGUGGCAUGUUUGGUGCCCAUACCAGAUGGGGUAUGGGGCGACCGGUUAACUAUUUAAUUGAAUAUUGGGUCACGAGUAGGAGGACAUCCCUAUGGACCCCCAAGAUACUGGUAAGUGGGUAAAAAUAUAAAAUGAUCGUUUCUUGUCAUCUUAUAUGUGAUAAAUAAUAAGGCAUGAAUAUGAGUUUUCAUAAGUUAUUGUUGGGAAAGACUUAUUACACAAUAUGGAAUAAAUGACUUUCUUUAUAGUAAAUGAAUUUACAUGAAAUUAAGGGCUCAAUUGGUUAUUUUUCUAAUUUUUACUAAUUUUCAGUUUUCUGUAUAUGUGAUUAGUGUGACAUUCUUACUGGGUUAGUUUAUCCUUUCAUUAACUAUUUCAGAUCAAGAGGACCAAGAUCUAGAUCCCA